AUACAUUUUUUGAGGCUGUACCUAUUCUAAAAUUGUAACGAUACAGAGAUUAGCAUGACUCCUGCGCGAGGAUGACAAGAAAGUUCGUGAAGCGUUACAUUUUUAA